CUCGAAGGCCCAGGCCUGCAUCCACACAGAGAAUCUGAUGUUCAGGGAACUAGAGGAAUUGUGGAAUUAAAGCAAAGAAGCUUGUUAAGAUGCAUGUGAAAACAAACUGACAAAGAGAAGAGAUGUCAAAGCCAAGAAAGACAAAGAUUGAAGAAAGGAACUUUACAAAGAAUUUCAGGUAUCUGAGGGAAGACAAAAGGGCCAAUGUUACAACAUCUGUACUACAUCUUUUCCCUUUAAGAGGGAAAAAAGAAAUCGAAAAACAAGGAAAAUCUUCCAAAAGAUCUGCAAACAAAAAGAGAUUCCAAACUCAAAUUAGUACGCCAAAAGAUACCAAUUACAUAGUAACAGAUUUUUAAAAAUCAAAUAAAGAUAAAAGGAAUAUAAUUAAA